rnacentral:lncRNA from 1 species
AUGCCAGCCGGGGGGACUCUGCGCCUCAAAGCUGCGGAGCCCGUCCUGCGCGACGGGGAGGCGACGGGGUCCCCGGGAGCCGCACAGGCGAGGGGGGCGCCCGAGAGUACGUCCCCCCUCACAAGGGAGGAGGAACCCCACGGGCUGCGGCCCCAAGGACAGAUGGGGCUGCCUGCGUUCUCCCCAGAUCCCCAGCGGCAGGGCGGCAAGGGGGCGGUUCAAUUAAAAGCUAAAGACCCCAGGAGGAAGCAGCCAGUACAGGCCGGUAAGAGCCGCUCCAUCCUGACUGAGGGACACCCCGAAAGCAGGCGACCGAGGCAGAGCCGGCACCGUGACAAGGUGACAAAUAACCUGCCCGUCUCGGGCUUUGUCACAAACACCCAGGCUCGGGGAAGUGGCUCGCAGCCUCCCUCCCUGCAUCAGGACCCAAAGGACCGGGGCGGCUCGUGGCCUUGCCAGCAGCCUUCCUGUGUCCCUGCAUCAGGACCCAAAGGACCGGGGAUGCUCCAAGGCUCAGGGGAGGCUCGUGGCCUUGCCAGCAGCCUUCCUGUAUCCCUGCAUCAGGACCCAAAGGACCGGGGAUGCUCCAAGGCUCAGGGGAGGCUCGUGGCCUUGCCAGCAGCCUUCCUGUAUCCCUGCAUCAGGACCCAAAGGACCGGGGAUGCUCCAAGGCUCAGGGGAGGCUCGUGGCCUUGCCAGCAGCCUUCCUGUAUCCCUGCAUCAGGACCCAAAGGACCGGGGAUGCUCCAAGGCUCAGGGGAGGCUCGUGGCCUUGCCAGCAGCCUUCCUGUAUCCCUGCAUCAGGACCCAAAGGACUGGGGAUGCUCCAAGGCUCAGGGGAGGCUCGUGGCCUUGCCAGCAGCCUUCCUGUAUCCCUGCAUCAGGACCCAAAGGACCGGGGAUGCUCCAAGGCUCAGGGGAGGCGUGCCGGAGGGGAGGCUGGGAAUGCCAAGAGGAGAUGCUGAACGUCAGGAAAGGAAGCUGUCCUGGCUCGAGGGCUGUCCAGGGUGA